rnacentral:tRNA from 2 species
GGAGAGGUGGCCGAGCGGUUGAAGGCACCGGUCUUGAAAACCGGCAACGCGCAAGCGUUCGUGGGUUCGAAUCCCACCCUCUCCGCCA